AUGCCGGAGUGCUUGCACUUUGGCAGACUGAGUGGCGGACGGGUGAGUAACGCGUGGGUAACCUGCCUUAUACAGGGGGAUAACAGUUGGAAACGACUGCUAAUACCGCAUAAGCGCACGGUAUCGCAUGAUACAGUGUGAAAAACUCCGGUGGUAUAGGAUGGGCCCGCGUCUGAUUAGCUAGUUGGAGGUGUAACGGACCACCAAGGCGACGAUCGGUAGCCGGACUGAGAGGUUGAACGGCCACAUUGGGACUGAGACACGGCCCAAACUCC
rnacentral:rRNA from 1 species